CACGUAGGGUGCAAGCGUUGUCCGGAAUUAUUGGGCGUAAAGGGCUCGUAGGCGGUUCGUCACGUCGGGAGUGAAAACUCGGGGCUUAACCCCGAGCCUGCUUCCGAUACGGGCAGACUAGAGGUAGGCAGGGGAGAGCGGAACUCCUGGUGUAGCGGUGGAAUGCGCAGAUAUCAGGAAGAACACCGGUGGCGAAGGCGGCUCUCUGGGCCUUACCUGACGCUGAGGAGCGAAAGCGUGGGUAGCGAACAGG
rnacentral:rRNA from 1 species